rnacentral:rRNA from 1 species
UACGUAGGUGGCAAGCGUUGUCCGGAUUUAUUGGGCUUAAAGGGUGCGUAGGCGGUCUAUUAAGUCAGUUGUGAAAUACGGCAGCUCAACUGUCGAGGUGCAAUUGAUACUGAUGGACUUGAGUACUGAUGAGGUAAGCGGAAUGGACGGUGUAGCGGUGAAAUGCUUAGAUAUGACACAGAACACCGAUUGCGAAGGCAGCUCACUAAACUGUAACUGACGCUGAGGCACGAAAGCGUGGGGAGCAAACAGG